rnacentral:rRNA from 1 species
CAGCAGCCGCGGUAAUACGUAGGGUGCGAGCGUUAAUCGGAAUUACUGGGCGUAAAGCGUGCGCAGGCGGUUGUGCAAGACAGAUGUGAAAUCCCCGGGCUCAACCUGGGAACUGCAUUUGUGACUGCACGGCUAGAGUGCGGCAGAGGGAGAUGGAAUUCCGCGUGUAGCAGUGAAAUGCGUAGAUAUGCGGAGGAACACCGAUGGCGAAGGCAAUCUCCUGGGCCUGCACUGACGCUCAUGCACGAAAGCGUGGGGAGCAAACAGGAUUAGAUACCCUGGUAGUCCACGCCCUAAACGAUGUCAACUAGUUGUUGGACGGCUUGCUGUUCAGUAACGUAGCUAACGCGUGAAUUUACCGCCUGGG